CCUCUGUCUAUUGCUUCCCAUAAAAUCUCAGAUAAAAUCACAAUUCACACCACCAAUAAUACUCCAAAUAGGACUAAAAUGAGUUAUUUGACUAAAAGUCAUGUGUUCAUAUUCUGCAUUUAUCUUUUACAAAUCCAAUUCAUUAAUAAUAUAUUUCUUCUAUGUACCACAAAAAAACCCAAUUAUUUAACAUUUGUCAUCUAUUACAACAUCUAAUUACCUCUCCUCACAAUCAUAUCUUUUUUCUUAAUGGCUAAGAAUCCUACAAAUUAAACACAACAUUCCUUGGCCUCUUAUUGGAAAAGCCCAUAAAUAAUAAAACCCAGAAAAUCUCAAAAUCAAAUUAUCUGUCAAUUAUUUAGUGGUUAAUCACUUAGCUCCGUAGUGGUAGGUCACUCUUACAAAUUAGUACCGACUUUUCUUCACUUCCCCUUUAAAUUAAAGCACUUGGCAUUUUCUCUAACCAAUAUCUUUUUUCCCCACACAAAAACCAAAAAAAAAAAACAAACAAAAAGAAAAUCAAAAAAAAUAUCAGGUGGAUCAAAAAUGGGAUCUGGAAAUUGCCACAUCUUCUGGGAAAUUCUAUUGGCCAUCAUCCUCCCUCCUCUUGGUAUCUGCUUGAGUGAUGGUUGUUGCAGUUGGGAGUUCUUGAUAUGUUUGGUGUUGACAAUACUGGGAUACAUUCCUGGGAUCAUCUAUGCAAUCUAUAUCAUCGUGGUAAAAAGUAAUCGCGACGCCGAAUCGGAGGGCAAUUACCGUCAACUUCCACAGUAGAUGAACGGAACAACCCUGCUUCCUAGCGUUGUAGAAGACACCUUUUGAUAUGGUUGUCACUUGUGGUUUUUGUUCAUCUCUAUAUGUUACUGUAUUUUGUUUUUAAGUUUUCCAAAGUUGCUAAAGAAUCUUUUGUACUAAUAAAAAUAUGUCAUUUCACUGUA